AUAGCCGCAGUAUUCUGACUGUGCUAAGGUAGCAUGAUAAUUUGUCUCUUAAUUAGAGACUAGUAUGAAAGAGGUGUCAAUGCUCCGCCUAUCCUCGCUAAUUAAACGGAAAUUAAUAUUUAUGUCAAAAAGCAUAAAUACUUAGAAAGACGAGAAGACCCUAUAAAGCUUUACUCCUCCUGACGGGUAAAAUCCCAGAAUUUUUCAAAUCUGUUUGCGAGUGGUUAAGCUGGGGCGGCAUCUAAAUUUCCUAAGAAAAUUAAACAUAAAUUUAUGAGCUUAAAGAUCUUAAAGUGAGAUAUAAAAUAAGCUACUUUAGGGAUAACAGCACAAUUUUUUCAUAUAGAUCUUAUAGAAGAAAAAGAGUUGUGACCUCGAUGUUGAAUUGAAGAGCCUGGUUUAAGCAAAAAUAAAUUAAGGGAGUCUGUUCGACUUUUAAACCUUCA
rnacentral:rRNA from 1 species